rnacentral:rRNA from 1 species
CGUAGGUAACCUACCUCAUAGCGGGGGAUAACUAUUGGAAACGAUAGCUAAUACCGCAUAAGAGAGACUAACGCAUGUUAGUAAUUUAAAAGUGGCAAUUGCUCCACUAUGAGAUGGACCUGCGUUGUAUUAGCUAGUUGGUGAGGUAAAUGCUCACCAAGGCGACGAUACAUAGCCGACCUGAGAGGGUGAUCGGCCACACUGGGACUGAGACACGGCCCAG